UGGAAUAUAGCUCAGUGGCACAGCAUCUGCCUGGCAAACACAAGGUCCUGAGUUUGAUUCCCAGUGCCAA
rnacentral:tRNA from 1 species